AAUGAACGCUGGCGGCGUGCCUAAUACAUGCAAGUCGAGCGAACAGACAAUGAGCUCUUUCCAUUACCGUUAGCGGCGGGCGGGCGAGUAAAACGUGGAUACUCAUCUAAUAAGUCUGGGUGAAUGACGGAAAACCGCAGAGGAUACUGGCUAAUACAUCGAACGGCAUGGUUCAAUAGAUCAACAUGGCUUUGCUGACACUCAUAGCCGGAUUCGCGCCGCCUUAGAGAGUUGGUAAGGUAACGGCUUACCCAGGCAACGAUGCGUAGCCGGCCUGAGAGGGUGAUCGGCCACACUAGAACUGAGACACGGUCCAGACUCCUACGGGAGGCAGCAGUGGGGAAUCUUCGGCAAUGGGCGAAAGACUGACGCAGCAAUGCCGCGUGGGUGAUGAAGGUCUUCGGAUCGUAAAGCUCUCUUGUUCGGGAAGAACAACUGUAGGUGUAACUAUCCACGUCUUGACGGUACCUAAUGAAAAAGCAACGGCUAACUACGUG
rnacentral:rRNA from 1 species